UGGAGAAGGAACAAAUGUGAAGUACACUGUGAAGGAUUUGUAGGGCUCCUACAGAAACACCAAGUCCAAGGGAGUCUGAGGAGUCUGCCCAGAGAUGAUCAGGCUGAAUGAGGCUACCUGCGGAGGACUCUUCAUGCUCCUCCUUACCGAACCUCUGCAACUCACACCAUGUGGAAGCACAUAGGACACAGCACCAAAGUCUAAAGCAGAAAGCAUGUAGAUCCCAGAGGUACAGCACAGGCUCCUAAGAAAGAACCCACGGUGGCUGAGUUUUCGGAUGUGCGCUUGUCAUCUGCCUACAGGAACUGGGGGGAAUCAGCCUCUAAGAAUCAUUUCAGGUGCAGGGAGUAAACUCAUACUGUGAACUACUUUGCCGUUAUGUACUGUUACCAUCUGUCUCAGGGGCAAAACCAUUCGCUGGGCCCAAUUCUCA
rnacentral:lncRNA from 1 species